AACAUACUUACUUCCGUAAACACAGUGCGCCUGCGUGAUCAAGUAUUACAUCAGGACGUCUUUUGCACAUGCGGGUCACUUCAGGGUCACAUUCAGUUCAUACUCAAAACUGAUAGAAGUCGCAUUUAAUGUGUAAUAUGAAUGAGCACACAAAAAAGUCGGAUUUCCCCCAAAAAUUUGAAUUGUGAAUUAAGACCUGCUGUCUGAAUGUAGCCCUAGAUUUAUUGGAUUUUACUAUU